UACGAGGGGGGCGAGCGUUAUUCGGAAUUAUUGGGCGUAAAGUGCGUGUAGGUGGCUAUAUAAGUCAAGUGUGAAAGACUACAGCUUAACUGUGGAGGUGCACUUGAAACUAUAAUGCUAGAGGGUGGAAGAGAAAAGUGGAAUUCUCGGAGUAGCGGUUAAAUGCGUGGAUCUCGAGAGGAACACCGAUGGCGAAGGCAGCUUUUUGGUCCACAACUGACACUAAAGCGCGAAGGCGUGGGGAGCAAACAGG
rnacentral:rRNA from 1 species